rnacentral:rRNA from 1 species
AUGCGAUUCCAAGAUGUAGAGAAAGCAAGGGAAUUUUAUAACAGAUACACUAGACACGCUGGUUUUGGAAUCAGGAAGACGGGAGGGAAUGACAAUCACAAGUAUUUUGUUUGCGCGUUCCAAGGAAAACACACAACUUCUGUUUCAGAGGCUGACAGGCAGCGAAACAAAACAUCGCAGAGGAUAGGCUGCAAAGCAAGAAUGAGGGUGAAGGUGCAGGAGGAUAACACAUGCGUGGCAGUGGACAUUGAGUACAAUCAUAAUCACCAACUCAUGCAAACUGACGACAUGCUGGUAUUCUUGCACUCACACAAGAAUUAUGACCCCACUAUUUUGGAGUACGUAAAGCUCCUGCAGUACCAUGAUGUCAAGCACACAACAAUCAUGUCCAUGUUGUCUGAAAAUGAAGAUGGGAGCUACUUCCUAAGCAUGACCAGACGAGACCUACUAAACCAGAAAGCCAUGAAUUCAAGGAAAGAUGAUUUGGAUGAUGUAUUGAAACUUGUUUCAUUCUUCAAAGACAUGAAAGCAAUCAAUGACGAGUUUUUCUAUGACAUACAAUCCAAUGCAAGCUGCCAAGGAGCGUAUCAAGACUUUGGCGAUUGCGUAACAUUCGACACAACUUACAAGACCAACAGGUUUCAUAUGCCUCUCCGAGUGUUUGUUGGAACAAACCAUCACUUGUAGUCAACAAUAUUUGCUGUUGUCCUGAUCAGAGAUGAAGAUGCAAAGUCAUUCAAGUGGUUGUUCGAUACAUUCAUGCCCAACUUGCAUUCUAACAGGUCUGUACUGGUUCAUGCAGACCAGUGCCUGUCGAUGGUGAAAGCUAUACCACAAUCAUUUCCAAACACCGUCCACAAGCUAUGCCGUUGGCACAUCAUGAAGAAGUACAUGGAAUACCUCGCGUUGCUGUACAAAAAGUAUAAAACAUUCAAAGAGGAGUUCACAGCUAUAUUAAACUGGCCACUAAUGCCAACGGAGUUUGAAGCUGCCUGGGCUGAACUCGUGCACAAGUACAACCUAGAGAAAGACCAGAUGAUGAUACAGGUGUGAAGUGAUAGGAAAAUGUGGAUUUCAGCAUAUUACAAGAAAAUUUUCUGUGCUAGAAUGACUUCCACACAACAAAGUGAGAGCAUGAACCACGUGCUCAAGAAAGGGUUUGUCAAGGGGACCCAGAACCUGCACAAGUUUGCUAGGUGGGUAAAUGCUUGCAUACAAACUCGGAUGCAGAAGAAGAACGAGCAGACAAUGACCAGCAUGGUAUGA